CUUGAUUAAUAUUUUUAAAACUUUCUAAUCUUUUCAAAAAUAUAAAUCAAACCAAUCCACACCCCUCUUCACUCCAAAUCAACCACUCUAUCCUCUCUCUCGACAGCUUCUCUCAACUCUCUCCCAACUAACACUUCUGCAAAAUUUCUCCCUUCAACCCUCGGCGAUAAAUAGUUGGGCUUCGAGUUCCCCUCUUCAAUUCAGAUCAACCUGUCUCUCAUCCCUCUCUCGACAGCUUCUCUCAACUCUCUCCCAAUCAACUUUUCUGUAAAUUUCUCAUUUCAAUCCUCGGUGACUUCAACAUCUGACUACAAAUAGUUGGGCUUCGAGUACUUUUUCGACUUCAACCUUCAAUCGACGUGACAGCCUUGCUUUCCGGCCACAACAGCUUCGAAUUCUUCAUCGUUCGUUUUCUUCCUUCACAGGUAAAAAUUUAUGGCCUUUUUAGUUUUGAAGAAAAUGAGGAACUUGAGGCAACUUCUCUUAUAGUAUCGAUUAACAAUUUCAAUAUUUAUUGCAUUAAUUUAAAAUGCGGUCUGAAUAAAACCCUAAUUUUUGGUAUUUCUUCUCUUCUCUUUUCGAAGUGAAUUAUGAUAUUUUGUUGUUUGUUGCAUUUUUUUAAGUUACUGUUUAUGUUUAUAAAAACAAAACAUCAUUUCGGUUGAUUUGUUCUGUUCUUGUUCUUGGUAAAAAUGGUGAAAUUGCUGUUUUUUUGUUGAACAAAAUUGUGCUAUUUUUUUAAUUUCCUCUAACAGAUUACCCAUCUGGUACAACAUAUUAACCAUCUGAUGCAACAAAUUUAUCAUAUGAUGCAAUAGAUCAACCAUUUGAUGCACCAGAGGAAUCAUCAAAUUACAAUUUUGAUGCAACAGAUUAAUCAUCUGAUGUAAUAGAUUAACUAUCUGAUGCAAUAGAUUAACCAUAUGUUGCAACGGAUUAAGCAUCGGAUAAAAAAUCUGAUGCAACUAAUUAACCAUCUGAUGCAAUAGAAGAACAAUCAGAUUAAUGAUCCGAUGCAACAGAUGAACCUCCUAUUGGAUAAAAUCCUAUCAACUCUUCCAAUAGGAAAUGUCCAAGACUUGAUUUUUCUAAAUAAUCAUUCAUCUGCUGCGAUAGACGACCCUAUGUUGGAAGAAAUCUAAACAAUAUUGACUGUUGAUAACUGUUCCAAAAUAUCACUCAUGUGUUGCAACCGAUGUGUGACUUGUUGCACAGACUGUUCAUUUUUCUCAACAGAUGAGUGAUAUAUUUUGUAUUAUCGCAACAGAUUACUCAGUUGUUGCUGCAGGUUAGUUAACUGCUCUGAUAGAUCACUCAUAUAUUGUAACAGAUGUGUGAUCUGUUGCACAAACCAUUCAUCUUUCUCAACAGAUCAGUGAUAUAUUUGGUAUUAUCGCAACAAAUUACUUAGCCAUUGCUACAGGUUAUUUAAUUGUUCCAAUAGAUAACUCAUAUAUUGCAACAAAUGAUGUCACAACAGAUGUGUGAUCUGUUGCACAGACCAUACUUAUUUCUUAAAAGAUGAGUGAUAUAUUUUGUAUUGUUACAACAGAUUACUCAUCCGCUGCAAUAGGUUGGUUAUAUACUGCAAAAGAUAUACUACCUGGUGCAAUAGAUCG
rnacentral:lncRNA from 1 species